rnacentral:lncRNA from 1 species
GCCACAAGGAGGGAGGAGUUCAGUGUGGGCUGGUUCUCGAAGGUCCCCACCCUCGGAACUAUCUUCCAGAGUCCCGGAGCUGUGCGGGGGCCCCGGAUCCUCUGGCUAACCGUCCGGAUAACCAACAGGACAGACAGUCUCUUUCUUCAUUCUCUAAUGCUCUGCCUUGAACCAGUUCCUGUGAUGGUGCUGGGCUAUAAAAAUAAAUUUACCCACCUUCUGUGAUGGCUUGAAUAUGCUCGGCCCAGGAAGUGGCACUAUUAGAAGAUAUGGCCUUGUUGGAGUAGGUGUAUCACUGUACAAGUGGGCUUUAAGACUCUCAUCUGCCUAGAAGUCAGUCUUCUACUAGCAGCCUUCAGAUGAAGAUGUAGAACUCUCAGCUCCUCCUGCACCAUGCCUACCUGGAUGCUGCCAUGCUUCUGCCUUGAAGAUAAUGGACUGAACCUCUGAACCUGUAAGCCAGCCCCAAUUAAAUGUUAUUCUUUAUAAGA